UACGAAGGGGCUAGCGUUGCUCGGAAUCACUGGGCGUAAAGCGCACGUAGGCGGAUCUUUAAGUCGGGGUGAAAUCCUGGAGCUCAACUCCAGAACUGCCUUCGAUACUGUAGAUCUUGAGUCCGGGAGAGGUGAGUGGAACUGCGAGUGUAGAGGUGAAAUUCGUAGAUAUUCGCAAGAACACCAGUGGCGAAGGCGGCUCACUGGCCCGGUACUGACGCUGAGGCGCGAAAGCGUGGGAGCAAACAGG
rnacentral:rRNA from 1 species